rnacentral:rRNA from 1 species
GGUGGGUGUUGGAAAGAUUUAUCGGUUUUGGAUGGACUCGCGGCCUAUCAGCUUGUUGGUGAGGUAAUGGCUCACCAAGGCGACGACGGGUAGCCGGCCUGAGAGGGUGACCGGCCACACUGGGACUGAGACACGGCCCAGACUCCUACGGGAGGCAGCAGUGGGGAAUAUUGCACAAUGGGCGCAAGCCUGAUGCAGCGACGCCGCGUGAGGGAUGACGGCCUUCGGGUUGUAAACCUCUUUCAGUAGGGAAGAAGCGAAAGUGACGGUACCUGCAGAAGAAGCACCGGCUAACUACGUGCCAGCAGCCGCGGUAAUACGUAGGGUGCGAGCGUUAUCCGGAAUUAUUGGGCGUAAAGAGCUCGUAGGCGGUUUGUCGCGUCUGUCGUGAAAGUCCGGGGCUUAACCCCGGAUCUGCGGUGGGUACGGGCAGACUAGAGUGCAGUAGGGGAGACUGGAAUUCCUGGUGUAGCGGUGGAAUGCGCAGAUAUCAGGAGGAACACCGAUGGCGAAGGCAGGUCUCUGGGCUGUAACUGACGCUGAGGAGCGAAAGCAUGGGGAGCGAACAGGAUUAGAUACCCUGGUAGUCCAUGCCGUAAACGUUGGGCACUAGGUGUGGGGACCAUUCCACGGUUUCCGCGCCGCAGCUAACGCAUUAAGUGCCCCGCCUGGGGAGUACGGCCGCAAGGCUAAAACUCAAAGGAAUUGACGGGGGCCCGCACAAGCGGCGGAGCAUGCGGAUUAAUUCGAUGCAACGCGAAGAACCUUACCAAGGCUUGACAUGUUCUCGAUCGCCGUAGAGAUACGGUUUCCCCUUUGGGGCGGGUUCACAGGUGGUGCAUGGUUGUCGUCAGCUCGUGUCGUGAGAUGUUGGGUUAAGUCCCGCAACGAGCGCAACCCUCGUUCCAUGUUGCCAGCACGUAAUGGUGGGGACUCAUGGGAGACUGCCGGGGUCAACUCGGAGGAAGGUGAGGACGACGUCAAAUCAUCAUGCCCCUUAUGUCUUGGGCUUCACGCAUGCUACAAUGGCCGGUACAAUGGGUUGCGAUACUGUGAGGUGGAGCUAAUCCCAAAAAGCCGGUCUCAGUUCGGAUUGGGGUCUGCAACUCGACCCCAUGAAGUCGGAGUCGCUAGUAAUCGCAGAUCAGCAACGCUGCGGUGAAUACGUUCCCGGGCCUUGUACACACCGCCCGUCAAGUCACGAAAGUUGGUAACACCCGAAGCCGGUGGCCUAA